rnacentral:tRNA from 1 species
GGAGAGAUAGUUCAGCAGUUAAGAGCACUGACUGAUGUUCCAGAGGACCUGGGUUCAAUUCCCAGGCCAUCCG